rfam:Ipomoea nil DNA, scaffold: scaffold3147, cultivar: Tokyo-kokei standard.
GUGCAUCUGGUGUAGUGGUAUCAUAGUACCCUCUCACGGUACUGACUGUGGUUCAAUUCCCCGGAUGCGCA